CUUUGGCAGCACAUAUAUACUAAAAUUGGAAUGAUACAGAGAACAUUUGCAUGGUCCCUGAGCAAGGAUGACAUGCAAAUUCGUGAAGCGUUCCAUAUGUCC